rnacentral:rRNA from 1 species
ACGGGUGAGUAACACGUAUGCAAUCCACCUGUAACAGGGGGAGUAACCCGGAGAAAUCCGGACUAAUACCCCAUAAUAUGGGCGCUCCGCAUGGAGAGCCAUUAAAGAGAGCAAUCUUGGUUACAGACGAGCAUGCGCUCCAUUAGCCAGUUGGCGGGGUAACGGCCCACCAAGGCGACGAUGGAUAGGGGUUCUGAGAGGAAGGUCCCCCACAUUGGAACUGAGACACGGUCCAA